GAUGAAGAACGUAGCAAAAUGCGAUACUUGGUGUGAAUUGCAGAAUCCAGUGAACCAUCGAGUUUUUGAACGCAAGUUGCGCCCGAAGCCUUUUGGCCGAGGGCACGUCUGCCUGGGCGUCACGCAUCGCGUCGCCCCCCACAAUUCUCCGUAAAGGGAACGUGUGUUUUGGGGGCGGAUAUUGGUCUCCCGUGCUCAUGGCGUGGUUGGCCGAAAUAGGAGUCCUUUCGAUGGACGCACGAACUAGUGGUGGUCGUAAAAACCCUCGUCUUUUGUUUCGUGCUGUUGCUCGCAAGGUAAACUCUUUAAAAACCCCAAUGUGUCGUCUCUUGACGACGCUUCGACCGCGACCCCAGGUCAGGCGGGACUACCCGCUGAGUUUAAGCAUAUCAAUAAGCGGAGGA
rnacentral:misc_RNA from 1 species